rnacentral:rRNA from 1 species
UACGUAGGCAGCGAGCGUUGUUCGGAGUUACUGGGCGUAAAGAGUGCGUAGGCGGUUUUCUAAGUUUGGUGUGAAAUCUCCCGGCUUAACUGGGAGGGUGCGCCGAAGACUGGAAGGCUUGAGUAUGGGAGAGGUAAGCGGAAUUCCCGGUGUAGCGGUGAAAUGCGCAGAUAUCGGGAAGAACACCCGUGGCGAAGGCGGCUCUCUGGAACGCAACUGACGCUGAGACGCGAAAGCGUGGGGAGCAAACAGG